GGGGGUAUAGCUCAGCUGGGAGAGCGCUUGAAUGGCAUUCAAGAGGUCAUGAGUUCGAAUCUCACUAUCUCCA
rnacentral:tRNA from 1 species